CAUGGAUAUGGGGGAGGCUAUCUUAGUUAUUACAGAAAAUAUCAUGGAUUUAAACUCCGACACAACAGAUUUUUCUAUGGCGGUCAUGGAUAUAAAUUGAGAUGUGCAAGGAGACGAUUUUACAGAAGCUGGACGGGUUGUUACAGAAGAUAUCACAGUAGAAGUCGUUGUUUUGGAUAUCUGAGGAAAAGACAUCUGUUUGGACUUUAUCAUAGAGCAGGUUACAGAACUGUACACACUCAUACGAAAUAUAGCUAUAGCUAUUAUAGAAGUCAUCAUGGAUUCAGCAUAAGACAUAGUAGAUUUACUUAUCAUGGAGUUUCAUACCGACUGAAAUGUAGCAGCACCCGAUUUUACAGACU